CACGGUUAGAGAGCAUGCGCAACAAGCAGUUUUGAAUAUGUGCGCCGAAUUUGCUGAACCUGGGAAGAAGGAGAGAGACUGCUUGCAUUUUUAUCACUGGACAAAGACCGAUUACUUCUAUACAAUAAAAGAAAGGAAAAGUGCUUGUGGUAACUGUCUUCUCUGA
rnacentral:lncRNA from 1 species